rnacentral:rRNA from 1 species
GGGACCCCAGGUCAGGCGGGAAUACCCGCUG